GGCGGCGUGCUUAACACAUGCAAGUCGAACGGAGCGAAUGAAAGCUUGCUUUUAUGAGCUUAGUGGCAAACGGGUGAGUAACACGUAGACAACCUGCCGACAGGAUGGGGACAACAUUCCGAAAGGAAUGCUAAUACCGAAUGAAGCGGAGGAGAGGCAUCUCUCUUCCGUGAAAGAUGGCCUCUUUUUAUGCUAUCACCUGUUGAUGGGUCUGCGUCUGAUUAGCUGGUAGGUGAGGUAACGGCUCACCUAGGCGACGAUCAGUAGCCGGUCUGAGAGGAUGAACGGCCACAUUGGGACUGAGACACGGCCCAGACUCCUACGGGAGGCAGCAGUGGGGAAUCUUCCGCAAUGGGCGCAAGCCUGACGGAGCAACGCUGCGUGAGUGAAGAAGGUCUUCGGAUCGUAAAGCUCUGUUGACGGGGACGAACGUGCGUGAUGCGAACAGUGUCAUGCAAUGACGGUACC
rnacentral:rRNA from 1 species